UGGGGAAUAUUGCACAAUGGGCGCAAGCCUGAUGCAGCAACGCCGUGUGAACGAUGAAGGUCUUCGGAUCGUAAAGUUCUGUUGCAGGGGAAGAUAAUGACGGUACCCUGUGAGGAAGCCCCGGCUAACUACGUGCCAGCAGCCGCGGUAAUACGUAGGGGGCUAGCGUUAUCCGGAUUUACUGGGCGUAAAGGGUGCGUAGGUGGUCUUUCAAGUCGGUGGUUAAAGGCUACGGCUCAACCGUAGUAAGCCGCCGAAACUGGAGGACUUGAGUGCAGGGGAGGAGAGUGGAAUUCCCAGUGUAGCGGUGAAAUGCGUAGAUAUUGGGAGGAACACCAGGAGCGAAGGCGGCUUUCUGGACUGCAACAGACACUGAGGCACGAAAGCGUGGGUAGCAAACAGG
rnacentral:rRNA from 1 species